rnacentral:rRNA from 1 species
GAUGAACGCUGGCGGCGUGCUUAACACAUGCAAGUCGAACGGUGAAGCAGGAGCUUGCUCCUGUGGAUCAGUGGCGAACGGGUGAGUAACACGUGCGCAAUCUGCCCCGAACUCUGGGAUAAGCGCUGGAAACGGCAUCUAAUACCGGAUACGACGCGCGACGGCAUCGUCUGCGCGUGGAAAGAACUUCGGUUCGGGAUGAGCUCGCGGCCUAUCAGCUUGUUGGUGAGGUAAUGGCUCACCAAGGCGACGACGGGUAGCCGGCCUGAGAGGGUGACCGGCCACACUGGGACUGAGACACGGCCCAGACUCCUACGGGAGGCAGCAGUGGGGAAUAUUGCACAAUGGGCGCAAGCCUGAUGCAGCAACGCCGCGUGAGGGACGACGGCCUUCGGGUUGUAAACUGCUUUUAUAUGUGACGAUUAUGACGGUAGCAUAUGAAUAAGGAUCGGCUAAUUCCGUGCCAGCCGCCGCCGUAAUAC